GUCUUGACNUCCUUUGANNNUCGAGAGAUCGAGCUUUCCCUUCGGGGACAAAGUGACAGGUGGUGCAUGGUUGUCGUCAGCUCGUGUCGUGAGAUGUUGGGUUAAGUCCCGCAACGAGCGCAACCCUUAUUACUAGUUGCCAGCAUUCAGUUGGGCACUCUAGUGAGACUGCCGGUGACAAACCGGAGGAAGGUGGGGAUGACGUCAAAUCAUCAUGCCCCUUAUGACCUGGGCUACACACGUGCUACAAUGGAUGGUACAACGAGUCGCGAAGUCGUGAGGCCAAGCUAAUCUCUUAAAGCCAUUCUCAGUUCGGAUUGUAGGCUGCAACUCGCCUACAUGAAGCCGGAAUCGCUAGUAAUCGCGGAUCAGAACGCCGCGGUGAAUACGUUCCCGGGA
rnacentral:rRNA from 1 species